CUAAACCCGAUUGUGUGAGUCCAGUGCUGAGAGAGGGGUGACGAUGGAGGGAGAGCCAAGUGGCACCGUCUCCUGGACUCCGGUGGCCUCGUGGUGUAAGAAGUGCGGACAGCAAGACCCUAGAUACUCACCUUAUACCUCGGUGCGGAUAACAGAGGCAGAGAUGAGGGCUUACCACCACUUCCUAGAAACUUGUCUCAGGCUAGAGCAGAUGGCAGGAGAAGCGCUUCCGUUGCCUCAGUGCCCCCAGCACUCUGAAGCGGUGUCUCUCCUCGACGCCACCCAUGAUGCAGUCCACAUGCCAUCAUAGCACUCGGCUGCAGUUGCCUCCCCUUUUGGGACAUAGACGCGAGAUGCAGAGAAGGCUUCUCUGGAGUCUGCAUGGUGUGGAGGGCUUGGGUGUGAGGCUACAACGCUCUGGCUCAGAGUGAUAGAGGGGGCCCCAUGGUCCAUAAUAGAUACAUGGACCUCGUCAGACAUGGAGGUCUGGGGCAAGGAAACUUUCUGGCGUGAUGGGAAUGUUCCAUAUGUAUUGAUAAGUCUGAUGUUUCCAUCAAUGUAUAUAUUUGCUAAUAUUCAGCAAGCUGUGCAUUUGGAUAUAGUCAAUGAGAUUUCAAUAAAAUUUAGCAUGAAAAAAUAAA